rnacentral:rRNA from 2 species
AAAUUGAAGAGUUUGAUCAUGGCUCAGAUUGAACGCUGGCGGCAGGCCUAACACAUGCAAGUCGAACGGUAACAGGAAGCAGCUUGCUGCUUCGCUGACGAGUGGCGGACGGGUGAGUAAUGUCUGGGAAACUGCCUGAUGGAGGGGGAUAACUACUGGAAACGGUAGCUAAUACCGCAUAAUGUCGCAAGACCAAAGAGGGGGACCUUCGGGCCUCUUGCCAUCGGAUGUGCCCAGAUGGGAUUAGCUUGUUGGUGGGGUAACGGCUCACCAAGGCGACGAUCCCUAGCUGGUCUGAGAGGAUGACCAGCCACACUGGAACUGAGACACGGUCCAGACUCCUACGGGAGGCAGCAGUGGGGAAUAUUGCACAAUGGGCGCAAGCCUGAUGCAGCCAUGCCGCGUGUAUGAAGAAGGCCUUCGGGUUGUAAAGUACUUUCAGCGGGGAGGAAGGGAGUAAAUU